rnacentral:rRNA from 1 species
UACCAGCACCCCGAGUGGUCGGGACGAUUAUUGGGCCUAAAGCAUCCGUAGCCGGUCCUACAAGUCUUCCGUUAAAUCCACCUGCCUUAACAGAUGGGCUGCGGAAGAUACUAUAGGGCUAGGAGGCGGGAGAGGCAAGCGGUACUCAGUGGGUAGGGGUAAAAUCCUCUGAUCCAUUGAAGACCACCAGUGGCGAAGGCGGCUUGCCAGAACGCGCUCGACGGUGAGGGAUGAAAGCUGGGGGAGCAAACCGG